CGGGGGAAUGAUUAAAAGGGAAUCAGGUGAGAAUCCUGAACAGUCCCGUUGCUGUAUGUCUCAUAAAAAAGCGUAGUAAACACAUACUCUAUGCCACUGAAAGGCCGCGUGCCGAUUGGGAAGGCGUUUACUGCGGAGACGAGUCAGAAGACCUGCCAUGCAAUAUA
rnacentral:ncRNA from 1 species